AUCGUCGUGGUCGUCUCUCUCUUCUGCUCUGUUGCGCCACCGUAGCCGUGAAGAGUUUUUGUGAAGGUGGUGAAGGAACUCACCUCAAUGGAGACAUAAACUCUGCAACUAAUGUUUCAUUAUCCGUUGGAACAAAUGGUGGUGAGUUGUGGUGGAGUUGGUGAUCAUCUAUUGUGUAAAUGUUCCAUGGAGUUGUGGUGGAGUUGGUGAUCAAGACUAUAUCUAUGCCUUUCAGCAUAUAGUUAUUCCCCCAUAGGUACAGAGCCGUGUUCUGCUAUUCCCUUUCGAAUUUUGUUUACUAUUUGGUCUCCACUAACUAGGCUUUGUCAUCGUAUCAUCGGGGUUUGAUGCGGCUAGAGGAGACCCAUUAGGAUGCUGUGAUGAUUUUGGUUAUAAGGUUAAUGACCACGCCUUCAAGAGCUCUCCUGCAAACUGUUCUUGAUUUAAUGAAAUGGAAGCUUGUUCGGGUUCCCACAUGGUGGAAAUGAGGUCGAAAGAAGCUUUUGUACAACAUUAUCUCUGCUCGUAUGAGUUCAAGAUCGAAGAGAUGCUAGAAACACAUCUUCCUAAUCCCCUCUUAGCCACUGUAUUCUAAUUCUAAAAUCUUUUGAUGCCAUGAGCAUACUAAAAAUCAGGACACUGAUCUAGAUAUCUCGAUUCUGUUCAAGUGUCAGAAAGAGUUGUAUUAGUCUGAAGCCUUUCUCAUAUGAUAACAAGUUUUACUUACAGAAAGGAUUGAGCUUCUACGCA